AUGGAAAAGAAAUGCAAAAAAGCAAAAUGGCUGUCUGGGGAGGCCUUGCAAAUAGCUGUGAAAAUAAGAGAGGCGAAAAGCAAAGGAGAAAAGGAAAGAUAUAAACAUCUGAAUGCAGAGUUCCAAGGAAUAGCAAGAAGAGAUAAGAAAGCCUUCUUCAGCGAUCAAUGCAAAGAAAUAGAGGAAAACAACAGAAUGGGAAAGACUAGAGAUCUCUUCAAGAAAAUCAGAGAUACCAAAGGAACAUUUCAUGCAAAGAUGGGCUCGAUAAAGGACAGAAAUGGUAUGGAUCUAACAGAAGCAGAAGACAUUAAGAAGAGACGACAAGAAUACACAGAAGAACUGUACAAAAAAGAUCUUCAUGACCCAGAUAAUCAUGAUGGUGUGAUCACUGACCUAGAGCCAGAUAUCCUGGAAUGUGAAGUCAAGUGGGCCUUAGAAAGCAUCACUAUGAACAAAGCUAGUGGAGGUGAUGGAAUUCCAGGUGAGCUAUUCCAAAUCCUGAAAGAUGAUGCUGUGAAAGUGCUGCACUCAAUAUGCCAGCAAAUUUGGAAACCUCAGCAGUGGCCACAGGACUGGAAAAGGUCAGUUUUCAUUCCAAUCCCAAAGAAAGGCAAUGUCCAAGAAUGCUCAAACUACUGCACAAUUGCACUCAUCUCACACGCUAGUAAAGUAAUGCUCAAAAUUCUCCAAGCCAGGCUUCAGCAAUAUGUGAACCGUGAACAUCCUGAUGUUCAAGCUGGUUUUAGAAAAGGCAGAGGGACCAGAGAUCAAAUUGCCAACAUCUGCUGGAUCAUGGAAAAAGCAAGAGAGUUCCAGAAAGACAUCUAUUUCUGCUUUAUUGACUAUGCCAAAGCCUUCGACUGUGUGGAUCACAAGAAACUGUGGAAAAUUCUGAAAGAGAUGGGAAUACCAGACCACCUGAUCUGCUUCUUGAGAAAUCUGUAUGCAGGUCAGGAAGCAACAGUUAGAACUGGACAUAGAACAACAGACUGGUUCUAA
rnacentral:lncRNA from 1 species